AACUGUGGUCUCCGCCUUCGCAUCCCCAGGGAUGUCUUCGGUAUCUGUGCGGUUGCCCUGCGCCCACCCUGCUUCGAGUUCAAUGAUUGAGAUGCUUCACGAAUGUGAACGCCAGACUCGCCCGUGGGAAAUGUGAAAUUUCAGCCUGACGACCACAGGAGAGAAGUCAAGCAAUAUAGUUUUGCCUAUGUAAGGCAUCUAGCCUCCAGCACACCUUCUCCGUCAAAUCUUCUGUGUUCUGCUUUAUACGUAAUGUGUGGUUGGAGCGGCUAAAAGUCGACUGAAGCGAUUCAUCUUGGGUGUACACCGGAUGCAUAUUGUUUGGAAAUUCCCUGU